GGAGGGACUGUGGCUGAAUGGUAGAGCAUCUGCUUGGCAUACAAAGGUCCUAGGGUUCAAUCCCCUGGCCUAGCAUCUCCA
rnacentral:tRNA from 1 species